rnacentral:rRNA from 1 species
AGAGUUUGAUCCUGGCUCAGAACGAACGCUGGCGGCGUGCCUAACACAUGCAAGUCGAACGGAGAUAAGGGGCUUGCUCCUUAUUUUAGUGGCGCACGGGUGAGUAACGCGUGGAUAAUCUACCUUGGAAUCUGGGAUAACGCAGCGAAAGCUGUGCUAAUACCGCAUACGAUCUCUGGAUGAAAGCGGGGGACUCGCAAGGGCCUCGCGCGAUUGGAGCGGCCGAUAUCAGAUUAGCUAGUUGGUGGGGUAAAAGCCCACCAAGGCGACGAUCUGUAGCUGGUCUGAGAGGACGACCAGCCACACUGGAACUGAGACACGGUCCAGACUCCUACGGGAGGCAGCAGUGGGGAAUUUUGGACAAUGGGCGCAAGCCUGAUCCAGCAAUGCCGCGUGCAGGAUGAAGGCCUUCGGGUUGUAAACUGCUUUUGUACGGAACGAAACGGCUCUU